rnacentral:rRNA from 1 species
GAUGAACGCUGGCGGCGUGCCUAAUACAUGCAAGUCGAGCGAACAGAUGAGGAGCUUGCUCCUCUGACGUUAGCGGCGGACGGGUGAGUAACACGUGGAUAACCUACCUAUAAGACUGGGAUAACUUCGGGAAACCGGAGCUAAUACCGGAUAAUAUAUUGAACCGCAUGGUUCAAUAGUGAAAGACGGUUUUGCUGUCACUUAUAGAUGGAUCCGCGCCGCAUUAGCUAGUUGGUAAGGUAACGGCUUACCAAGGCGACGAUGCGUAGCCGACCUGAGAGGGUGAUCGGCCACACUGGAACUGAGACACUGUCCAGACUCCUACGGGAGGCAGCAGUAGGGAAUCUUCCGCAAUGGGCGAAAGCUUGACGGAGCAACGCCGCGUGAGUGAUGAAGGUCUUCGGAUCGUAAAACUCUGUUAUUAGGGAAGAACAAAUGUGUAAGUAACUAUGCACGUCUUGACGGUACCUAAUCAGAAAGCCACGGCUAACUACGUG